CAUCGUUUCUCUUCCCCUCACCGUCGUCUCUCUCUUUCGCCAUCGAUCCCUCUCUCUGUGUCGCCGUUGAGCUCUCGAUCUCUCUGUGUCGCCGUCGAGCUCAACGACCCUUCCUCCGUGAGUGGCAAGUUCAUGCGAAGGUUCAGGCUCCCUGAGUACGCCAAGAUGGAUCAGGUGAAGACAUCCAUGAAGAACGGUGUUCUUACUAUCAUUGUUCCCAAGGCAGAAGUUAAGAAACCUGAUGUUGAGCACUGGUUAAACAAUAUAAUUUUUCUUAAUCCCCCUUCUGGUUUUCAAGCCUGUGUUUGGGUUUUGUUGUGAAUUGUGAUUGCCUAAUAUCUAUGAUGUUCAUGUCC